rnacentral:rRNA from 1 species
CGGGUGAGUAAUACAUAAGUAACCUGCCCUAGACAGGGGGAUAACUAUUGGAAACGAUAGCUAAGACCGCAUAGGUACGGACACUGCAUGGUGACCGUAUUAAAAGUGCCUCAAAGCACUGGUAGAGGAUGGACUUAUGGCGCAUUAGCUGGUUGGCGGGGUAACGGCCCACCAAGGCGACGAUCGGUAGCCGGACUGAGAGGUUGAACGGCCACAUUGGGACUGAGACACGGCCCAG